AACGAACGCUGGCGGCAGGCUUAACACAUGCAAGUCGAACGGGCGUAGCAAUACGUCAGUGGCGGACGGGUGAGUAACACGUGGGAAUGUGCCUUUCGGUUCGGAACAACUCGGGGAAACUCGUGCUAAUUCCGGAUACGCCCUUACGGGGAAGGAUUAUCGCCGAAAGAUCAGCCCGCGUCCGAUUAGCUAGUUGGUGAGGUAAAGGCUCACCAAGGCACCGAUCGGUAGCUGGUUUGAGAGAACGACCAGCCACACUGGGACUGAGACACGGCCCAGACUCCUACGGGAGGCAGCAGUGGGGAAGUCUUGGACAAUGGGCGGCAAGCCUGAUCCAGCCAUGCCGCGUGAGUGAUGAAGGCCUUCGGUUGUAAAC
rnacentral:rRNA from 1 species